rnacentral:rRNA from 1 species
AGCGAACGCUGGCGGCAGGCUUAACACAUGCAAGUCGAGCGGGCGUAGCAAUACGUCAGCGGCAGACGGGUGAGUAACGCGUGGGAACAUACCUUUUGGUUCGGAACAACACAGGGAAACUUGUGCUAAUACCGGAUAAGCCCUUACGGGGAAAGAUUUAUCGCCGAAAGAUUGGCCCGCGUCUGAUUAGCUAGUUGGUGAGGUAACGGCUCACCAAGGCGACGAUCAGUAGCUGGCUGAGAGGAUGAUCAGCCACAUUGGGACUGAGACACGGCCCAAACUCCUACGGGAGGCAGCAGUGGGGAAUAUUGGACAAUGGGCGAAAGCCUGAUCCAGCCAUGCCGCGUGAGUGAUGAAGGCCCUAGGGUUGUAAAGCUCUUUUGUGCGGGAAGAUAAUGACGGUACCGCAAGAAUAAGCCCCGGCUAACUUCGUGCCAGCCGCCGCAGUAAU